UAGUCUUAAGGUGUGUUGGCCGACGCCAGAGUCAGCCAGAGCGUCGGGGCCCUUCCGGAUCCAACCGUUUGUCUGCACCUUCCACGGCCCCGGCUCCCACGACUCUCGGACUUGGACGGCUGAAGGGCCGGCGAUCCCAUCCUUCGUUGCCAGUAAUAAGUAUCUGCCGGGCUUCACAAAUGACUCCACAGACAUGUGGAUAACACCUGAGUGUGUUCCAUAAUCCAGAGCUACACUAUUCAGAAAUUUUUGUCACCAUUGUUGAGGAGCCCAGGAGAUGUAAUCCCAACACUUUUGGAGAACAUCAAGUAUGAGAAGACUUUUCCUGUAAUUUGGCUUGAUAAUGCAAUCAAGUUUAUAAGCUUUUUCUUAUAUUGAAGUUGCCACUCUACAUUUUAGGAUUUUUUCCUAUUUUGUUCCUGCUAUCUGAAAUUAAAUUUCUUUCAAUUACAUCUGGAUAAUAAAGUCCAAUCUCUUGAUAUUUAAAAGACUUUUAGAAUGCAUCUUUUUAUGAGUGCCAGCAUAAAACUGAAAAAAAUAAAAAUAAAAAGUGCUUCAUUAUA